AUCCUGUCUGAAUAUGGGGGGACCAUCCUCCAAGGCUAAAUACUCCUGACUGACCGAUAGUGAACCAGUACCGUGAGGGAAAGGCGAAAAGAACCCCGGCGAGGGGAGUGAAAAAGAACCUGAAACCGUGUACGUACAAGCAGUGGGAGCCCUGAUUUAUCAGGGUGACUGCGUACCUUUUGUAUAAUGGGUCAGCGACUUAUAUUCUGUAGCAAGGUUAACCGAAUAGGGGAGCCGGAGGGAAACCGAGUCUUAACUGGGCGUUAAGUUGCAGGGUAUAGACCCGAAACCCGGUGAUCUAGCCAUGGGCAGGUUGAAGGUUGGGUAACACUAACUGGAGGACCGAACCGACUAAUGUUGAAAAAUUAGCGGAUGACUUGUGGCUGGGGGUGAAAGGCCAAUCAAACCGGGAGAUAGCUGGUUCUCCCCGAAAGCUAUUUAGGUAGCGCCUCGUGAAUUCAUCUCCGGGGGUAGAGCACUGUUUCGGCAAGGGGGUCAUCCCGACUUACCAACCCGAUGCAAACUGCGAAUACCGGAGAAUGUUAUCACGGGAGACACACGGCGGGUGCUAACGUCCGUCGUGAAGAGGGAAACAACCCAGACCGCCAGCUAAGGUCCCAAAGUCAUGGUUAAGUGGGAAACGAUGUGGGAAGGCCCAGACAGCCAGGAUGUUGGCUUAGAAGCAGCCAUCAUUUAAAGAAAGCGUAAUAGCUCACUGGUCGAGUCGGCCUGCGCGGAAGAUGUAACGGGGCUAAACCAUG
rnacentral:rRNA from 1 species